CACUCCUCCGGGAGGCAGCAGUGGGGAAUAUUGCACAAUGGGCGCAAGCCUGAUGCAGCCAUGCCGCGUGUAUGAAGAAGGCCUUCGGGUUGUAAAGUACUUUCAGCGGGGAGGAAGGCGAUAAGGUUAAUAACCUUGUUGAUUGACGUUACCCGCAGAAGAAGCACCGGCUAACUCCGUGCCAGCAGCCGCGGUAAUACGGAGGGUGCAAGCGUUAAUCGGAAUUACUGGGCGUAAAGCGCACGCAGGCGGGCUGUCAAGUCGGAUGUGAAAUCCCCGGGCUCAACCUGGGAACUGCAUUCGAAACUGGCAGGCUAGAGUCUUGUAGAGGGGGGUAGAAUUCCAGGUGUAGCGGUGAAAUGCGUAGAGAUCUGGAGGAAUACCGGUGGCGAAGGCGGCCCCCUGGACAAAGACUGACGCUCAGGUGCGAAAGCGUGGGGAGCAAACAGGAUUAGAAACCCGUGUAGUCCCAUGA
rnacentral:rRNA from 1 species